CAAGAUUAUCAGCCCCUCGUCUCUGCCUUGGACGCUCGCGUCACUCCGGUAACCCUUGACGAGCUCUUUGCCAUGCUUAGCAAUUUUGAUCAGCGCAUGGCGCAGUACCACGGCUCCGGUGGCGGCUUCAAGUCCUCGGCAAACUCCGUCUCCAGAGGCCGCGGUGGCGGCUCUCGCUCUCGUUCUUCCUCUCGUGGCAAGGGGAGGUUUGGAUCCGACGGCGGCGGCUACUCCAACAACACUUGUGGCGGCGGACGCUCUGGCUCAUGA
rnacentral:rRNA from 1 species